AGAAUUCUUAUUUUUGUGUUGUUUUUUUUUCUUUCCAUUUUUCGUGUGUGUUCAGGUGGGAAACUACCUCCGUAUGUUCAGAGGCUCCCUGUAUAAAAGAUACCCGUCAUUAUGGAGAAAACUGGCAUCAGUAGAAGAACGAAAGAAAAUCGUGGAGUCGUCUCACGAUCACGGCUACACUCAGCUGGCCACCAGCGUGACUCUGCUGAAGGCUUCGGAGGUCGAGGAGAUCCUCGAAGGAAACGAUGAGAA